GUGUCAGCCGCCGCGGUAAUACGAAGGUCCCAAGCGUUAUCCGGAAUUAUUGGGCGUAAAGCGCAUGUAGGCGGUUUACUAAGUCUGGUGUGAAAGCUCACGGCCUAACCGUGAAAUUGCAUUGGAAACUGGUGAACUAGAAUACUGGAGGGGUAAGUGGAAUUCCAUGUGUAGCGGUGGAAUGCGUAGAUAUAUGGAGGAACACCAAUGGCGAAGGCAGCUUACUGGACAGAGAUUGACGCUGAGAUGCGAAAGCGUGGGGAGCAAACAGGAUUAGAUACCCCGGUAGUCC
rnacentral:rRNA from 1 species